rnacentral:rRNA from 1 species
GAUGAACGCUGGCGGCGUGCCUAAUACAUGCAAGUCGAGCGAACAGACGAGGAGCUUGCUCCUUCGACGUUAGCGGCGGACGGGUGAGUAACACGUAGGUAACCUACCUAUAAGACUGGGAUAACUUCGGGAAACCGGAGCUAAUACCGGAUAAUAUUUCGAACCGCAUGGUUCGAUAGUGAAAGAUGGCUUUGCUAUCACUUAUAGAUGGACCUGCGCCGUAUUAGCUAGUUGGUAAGGUAACGGCUUACCAAGGCAACGAUACGUAGCCGACCUGAGAGGGUGAUCGGCCACACUGGAACUGAGACACGGUCCAGACUCCUACGGGAGGCAGCAGUAGGGAAUCUUCCGCAAAGGGCGAAAGCCUGACGGAGCAACGCCGCGUGAGUGAUGAAGGUCUUCGGAUCGUAAAACUCUGUUAUUAGGGAAGAACAUAUGUGUAAGUAACUGUGCACAUCUUGACGGUACCUAAUCAGAAAGCCACGGCUAACUACGUG